CUUGUAUUCUAGCUCACGCAUCGCCGGCAGUCGAGCUGCUGAUCAGUGACAGCCUUGGAAUAGCUGCUGGAAGCUAGACCCACGUGCCCUGGGCCUCGUCAGGCCGCUUCCUGCUGGCACUUCCUCCGGAAAACGCCGCGGCCAAAAAGGGGCCAAGAAAAUAUCGACUGAGCAGGACCGACGACCCAAAGUUUGGUCCGGCCUGCUGUUCCUGCGGUGUACGACGGCUCACCUCGGCCCGGUGAUUUGUGUAGUGCUAAAAUAGGAGCACACACCCAAACGCAAGCCAAGCCGACGGCGAAGCAGGGAACAGGGGAGCUGCGUCUGUCCUACAAGUCAGCGCUGUAUCACUUUGCUGCAUGUAAACAGUAUGGUUGAAUAUAUAGCUGGGACCUAAAGACACUCCCUGUGUGCAGGAACCUUAAUAUAAAUAACCAGAGGAAAGUAGAUGUCUAUAAAUGGAUGGAAGUCUGAGCUGCUUUGGGUAAAAGGAUUAGCUAAACAAAGGAAGUAAAAACGAUAUUAAAACACGCAAGACAUUCAUUCUACUCAAAUCUCUAAGCCAAAACGUCUGAUGAAACCCACAUUGACCUGUUUAAAUUGUUGUAAAGGUAUUUGAUAUAGCUUGUUUUUCCAAGUUGACGUGUAUUUAUAAAAUGUCGAGUCAAGUAGGUAAUACGUUAAGUUAGCCAGACAGGAGGAAUGAAACCAUGUACGGAGAGA